rnacentral:lncRNA from 1 species
GUCAGAGAGAGAAAGACAGACAGACGGGGUGGAAAGGGGAAGGUUCAGCUGGGACCCUGGCAUCCUGCCUUCAAGCCUCCUCUUCUUUUCCCAGGGGACCCUCCAAGGAGCCCGCCCCCGCAGCCUUUCCCAGCCCCUCCUCUCAGAUACACAGCUUCUCUGAGCCUCUCUUCCCUUUCUCCCUUUUUUCCUUCACUGUCUUCUCAUCUCUCUCUUUCUCCUUCUCCCUGUUUCCCUUCACUGUCUUCUCAUCUAUCUCUCUCUUCAUCCUUCUCCCUGUUUCCCUUCACUGUCUUCUCAUUUAUCUCUCUCUCUUCAUCCUUCUCCGUUUCCCUUCACUGUCUUCUGUUUCAACAUCAUCUCUCUCUUCCCCUUCUCCCUUUCCCCUUGACUGGCUUCUCAUCAAUCUAUCUCUUCAUCCUUCUCCCUGUUUCCCGUCACUGUCUGCUCAUCUCUCUUCAUCCAUCUCACUUUUGUCCGUCACUGUCUUCUCAGCGAUCGGUCUCUUCAUCCUUCUCCCUGUUUCACUUCGCUGACUUCUCAUCUAUCUCUCUCUUCAUCCUUCUCCGGUUCGCUUCACUGUCUUCUGUUUCUCUCAGCUCUCUCUUCCCCUUCUCCCUUUUUCCCUUCACUGUCUUCUCAUCUAUCUUUCUCUUCAUCCUUCUCCCUGUUUCCCUUCACUGUCUUCUCUGUUUCUUUCAUCUCUUCCCCUUCUCCCUUUUUUCCUUCACUGUCUUCUACUCUCUCUGUGUCUCUCAUCUCUCUCUUCCCCCUACUCCCUCUGUCUCUCUGUCCCUCUCCUCUCCUUCACUCUCCUCUCUGUCUCUGUCUCUUCCUUUCUUCUCUCUUGCUUGUCUCCUUCCCUCUCUCCUUUCUCCUCCUGACUCCUUUCCCUUCUCACACUCACAUCUGUCCUUCCUUCAAGGGGACAGUAAGACAGAAAAUAGGUCUCGUCUCCUGUCUGUCAGUCUGAUUCCUUUCCCAUUCUCGGACCCUCCGUCUCUUCCUCUCUAUCUGGCUCUGCUGUUCUCAGUGUCUGUCUCUCCCCACUUCCAGUGGCCCAUGGACUCCCAGAGACGCCUUGAUUGGGGAGGGGAGUGUGUACUCCUGGUCCCCAAUCCUCAGGGUUUCUUCCCCUCCCUGUUCAUCCUACCCCCACUUUCUUCAAAUGCCAGCAGCCUCUGUCCUUUCUGCUGCCCCAGGCCGUUGCUCUGA